AUGGCUUCGCCAGGAAGUGCGAGGCCGAGGGCGGAGGCGGCGCGCGCGGCCAAUGGCGGCUGCCGCGAGGAGGUGGGCUCAAGGCGGCGCCGAGGCGGGGCCUGCGCUCCGGAGGUGGGGGCCGCGCAGGGGGAGGCGGCGGGGAGCCCGCCGGGAGCCGGCGCGGGGGAGGGGCGGGGGGCGGCGGGAGUGCGCCGGGGGGGGGGCGCCGGGGAGCGGGGGGAGGGGGGCCGGGGGCGGUGCGUCGGGAGGGCGGGGAGGGGAGGGGAGGGCGCGGGGGGUGGGGGCCCGGAGCGGUGCGUGGGGAGGGAGGGAGAGGGAUGUGCGCGGUGGGAGGGGGCCCGGAGCGAUGCGUGGGGAGGGGAGUGCGCGGUGGGUGGGGGAGGGGGCCCGGAGCGAUGCGUGGGGAGGGGAGUGCGUGGUGGGAGGGGGCCGGGAGCGGUGCGUGGGGAGGGAGGGAGGGGAGGGCGCGGGGGGUGGGGGCCCGGAGCGGUGCGUGGGGAGGGAGGGAGGGGAGGGCGCGGGGGCUGGGGGCCCGGAGCGGUGCGUGGGGAGGGAGGGAGGGGAGUGCGCGGUGGGAGGGGGCCGGGAGCGGUGCGUGGGGAGGGAGGGAGGAAGGGGAGUGCGCGGUGGGAGGGGGCGGCGCGCGCGGCCGGGAGCGGGGAGCGGCGAGCCGGGCCGAAGCUGGGGGGCGGCGCGCCGGGGGGAGAGGCAGCGCGGGAGGGGGCCGUGCGCGGGGUCGGCAGGACUCCCACCCUGGGCCGCAGCCUCCUUCUGUCACCCAGCUGGCUCCCCGGCACGCGGGGCCCCCCAGGCUUGCACCUGGAAACGCCCGCUGGUACUGACCCGAGUGCUGAGAGGGGUCGCGCGGCGGCCUCCCGGCUCCCUCCCGCUCCCAGUCUUAGCCCAGCCGUAGGCUGCGCUCACGCUCAGGUGAGGCGUCUGCCGGCCCUUCCAGGUAGGGUCACGCCACCCCCCCUCCCGUUCUGCCCACCUCCAGCUUUGCGCUUCUGUACCUCUUACUCUUAG
rnacentral:lncRNA from 1 species